rnacentral:lncRNA from 1 species
GUAUCUGCCUAAGAUACAUGGAAAGCUCUGAGCGCUUUUCUUGUUCUUCAGAUCCUCCUGCAGUGCUUGGCACAGAGAUGUACACACAGUAAGUGGUCAAAAACUUAUUAUUGAUUGAACAAGGCAGUUCUGCUUCAAGGUCACACCUAGGGCAGGAUACAUCUGAAGCAGGGAGUUCAGAAGGUGCAACAAAAAUGUUGUAAAUAGUACGGGGUUCUUUAAGGCAGGCACUUGGCAAAACAUUUUUGAAGUAGAAACCUGGGAAUUGCUGGAGAGGGGUGCACAGUCAAGGAAAUGUCUUUUAAACGGUAGCUGAUUUCACGCAGAAUCUGAAAACACGCAUAACACAGUGUAUGUUUUCUGCACUGGCAGACUUCCAGUUACCAUCAGUAAAUCCUGUGGCAUUUGGAAAGACAUCUAAUGAGAGUUAUGGAUCAUGGCCUCCCUUCCUGCUACUUUUCAAAAGCCCUAAAUUUCUGUGGCAGUUCAGAAACAUACGAAGAACUUCGAAAGCCAUUUUGGUCUUGGUUUUACUUUUUUCUUCUUCCUUGGACAUUACUAUUUUCAGGUAACUUUCAAUUUGCUUUGAAAUGUUUCCCUUUCAUAUCAAAUACUUCUUUCUGUAUAAAAAAAUAGAAAGUUGUUACUCUGUUUUUGGUUAGUACUAUGUUGGAAAACUAUUGGCUUCUAGUAAAAUGUGAAGCAAAUAGGGCUCUUUGGGGUACUUUGCAUUCUCAAGGGAUGUAGGAAGACUUACAGUCACAAAACGGCUGCUCCUGGGGUGUCAGGCUGUCAUUACCCUGUGCUCACCCAGCACCCUACUGAAAAUAAGACACACUGAGUCUUAACUGUACAAAUGUUACCGAAGCUAUACAGCUUUUCACUGUUUUCUAAGACACUACUCUCUGUUCAUGUCAAGGAGAUAUUGCUUCUGUCUGCUUUUUCUGUCCUAGUACUUUCAAAAUGUCUUUUGACCAUUUAUGCCCUAGAAGCAUGACUAGCCCCAUUUUGGAGUCUGGAGGCAGCCAAGACUAUAAAAAAUAUGAAUAGGUGGAGCUAAAAAAAACUGAGACUGUCAUAAUUGUCAUUAAAUAAAGUAUUCUAGCUACAAAUUUGGAGAACCA